AUUGAACGCUGGCGGCAGGCCUAACACAUGCAAGUCGAGCGGAUGAAGGGAGCUUGCUCCUGGAUGCAGCGGCGGACGGGUGAGUAAUGCCUAGGAAUCUGCCUGGUAGUGGGGGAUAACGUCCGGAAACGGGCGCUAAUACCGCAUACGUACUGAGGGCGAAAGUGGGGGAUCUUCGGACCUCACGCUAUCAGAUGAGCCUAGGUCGGAUUAGCUAGUUGGUGGGGUAACUGCCUACCGAGGCUACGAUGCGAAACUGGUCUGAAGGGAUGAUCAGACACACGGGAAGUGAGACACGGUACAGACACCUACGGGAGGCAGCAGUGGAGAAUACUGGACGAGGGAGGAGAGGCUGAUCCAGCAAAGCCGGGGGUGGGAAGAAGGUCUUAGGAUGGUAAAGCGAUGUAAGUUGGGGGGAAGUGAAGUAAGUUUAUCCCUGAUUGUUUUGACGGUACCAACAGAAUAAGCACCGGCUAACUUCGUG
rnacentral:rRNA from 1 species